CCGCCGGGAACCAGCGUGCUCAUCCGGAUGCUUCCUAACUGAGAAAGAAAGGACUGCAGAUGCUGGAAUCUAGAUGAAAAACACGAUGAUGCUGGAGGAACUCAGCAGGCCAGGCAGCAUCCGCGGAGAAAAGCAGGCAGUCAACGUUUCGGUUGUUGGGUUCUGAUAAAGAAUGGAAGCAAACAAUAGAAUGCAAAUCCC